AAAAAAACAGGGCCAUUACAGAAAAAAACAGGCCAUUACAAAAUUUUUUUAAUAAACAGUCACUUUUGGCAAUAAUGCACUUAGUUGGUUAAUAAAGAUGGAUAAAAGUGACGAAAAAAUAUAUAUAUUUAUGAAAAACUUCCUUCACCAUGAAUGCUUUGGUAAUACAGGGUAUCAAAUUCAGGGUUGAAUAUUUUGAGUGACGUGAAUAAACUUAUGACUACUUCGAAAAUAUUUGAUAUUGGUCAGUUCUAGGUUAUGAAAUAUUGGGCUAAAUAAAGCAAUUCUCAAAGUAACUGAACUCUAUUACAUUGAUAUUUGUAAGUCAUGGAUAUCAGAUGACAUAUGAUUUGCCUUAUCCUACUUUUUUAUGUUACCAAUGUAUAUUUAUUGUUUCAGAUUAAUAAAAUAUGAAGCCUCACGUUUUAGAUAAAAAAAA
rnacentral:lncRNA from 1 species